GCGAGAGUCGUCCGUGUGAAUGAAAGCCAUCCCUCGUCAUUGUCUUACUGAGCAACGAGUGAAACAAUAAACUGACAGGAUAGAUUCCGUCACGAAUCUCCUUCCCACCGAUUCAUGUACAACUCACAAUGGGCAGUGACAACCUCGAAAGGACGUUCGACAUCUUGCGAGCCUGUCCAGAACGUAUACCGGUCACGUAACUCAUUUCCUACGAUAACGUCACCGUGGAAUUUCAUUAUUGAAAAAAACGAUCGAGGGAUCGUUAAGCACCGAACUCUCAGAGUCAUCAAUAGCAACAAACAUUUUUGUUCGAUCGAAGAAGUGGCCCCUUGAAUGAAUCCACUUAACGAGCGAUCGAGACCGCUCUUCCGCUCUCGAACACGGCGAAAGGAAGACUCUCCAAGCCCAGGACAACAAUGGGUCCUCAUCGUUCUCUCUUGUGAUUCGAAGUACGUUUGACGGACAUGAAGAUGCCCAGCCUUUCUUCGACCUCGAGCGUCUGCAUGGCGAAGCCUUUCUUAUGAAGUAUCAAUAAGAUAUCACCUGCUUGAGAUAUUAACCCCAUAGCACUGACGCUAUUCGAUCAACAUCAAUGGACAGAUGUGGCGUAAGAAGCGCUUUUCCCUCGAAAGAGCACCAAACCGUAGAGAGACCAACUCUUUUAGAGUCUUAGGACCCAGAAACCCGUUUCGCCGUUUUUCCACCUCCGCAAUUCCCGCGACGCGUAAGCCCUCAAUUUUCGCACAAUGGAGAAUCUCGAGACUCCUUAUAAAAAUUUGACGUACAAUAGCGCCUUUGUCCGCGCCUUUACCCCAUCCGUCCGAUUGAAUCGGACGAUUUUUUUCUCCGUAACGACGCACCGAUUCCACGUGGAACGUCCAAAAAUCAGGCAACGUAAAAAGGUUAAGGCCUAUUCUUCGAAUAUCGCGGUGCAGCUAUUCAUCAAAUUUUUUUUCUUAUGCGGGUGUCGCGCGUCGUUUCCGAGGAUUUACGGUAAAGAUAAGAAAAAA
rnacentral:lncRNA from 13 species